rnacentral:rRNA from 1 species
AUGGCGAAAGUUAUACCACAAUCAUUCCCAAACACCGUCCACAAGCUAUGUCGUUGGCACAUCUUGAAGAAGUACAAGGAAUACCUUGCAUUGCUGUACAAAAAGUAUAAAACAUUCAAAGAGGAGUUCAUAGCUCUAUUAAACUGGCCGCUGAUGCCAAUGGAGUUUGAAACUGCCUGGGAUGAACUCGUGCACAAGUACAACCCGGAGAACGACCAGAUGAUGAUGCAGUUGUGGAGUGAUAGGAAAAUGUGGAUUUCAGCAUAUUACAAGAUCAUUUUUUGUGCUAGAAUGACUUCCACACAACGAAGCGAGAGCAUGAAUCACGUGCUCAAGAAAGGGUUUGUCAAGGGGACCCAGAACCUACACAAGUUUGCUAGGCGGGUAAAUGCUUGCAUACAAAUUCGAAUGCAGAAGGAGAACGAGCAAACAAUGACCAGCAUGACCAAUCCUGUGACAAAAACAACUUAUGGCUACGAGGAAGACAUGUCUAUCAAGUACACGAGAGCCGUGUACACCGAGAUGAGGACUAGGAUGAGAAAAACCACGCUAUUUCACGCAAAGCGUACAUCAGAGCCCACUAAGUACCUUGUGUACUACCACAACAAGCCUGGCCAUGAUGAUGAAGAAAGAUUUUCCUGGUCAAAGCAUGAAUUCCAGGUUGUAGCUGACCCAGAGAAUGAAAUAUACGAGUGUGAAUGCAACCUUUGGACACACACAGGCCUGUUCUGCCUUCACAUCAUGAACAUACUGGACUACCUGAAGCCUGACAAAUUUCCACACAAGUAUAUCCUCAAACGGUACACGAAGACUGCAAAAUCACAACCAACCUUUGGUACAAGGGACUACAACACAACUGCAUCGGAUGGCAGCUCAAGACUAUCGAAGCAAGACAUCUUGCUGCAGCUAAAUUUGAUGGUUAACAAGACAGCGAUGAGAUGUGACCAGCAGUAUGACAGAGCCUACUAUGUUCUCAAGAGGCUCGUGGAAGAGCUUGAUGCAAUACAUUCAGCAAAUCGAGCGGAUGCUGACGAAAGGAUGGAUCAAGAGGAUGCUAAAAUUGAAGAUGACCUUCAUUAUUAUGCAGCUUAUAUGCUCAACGCCGCCGCUCAAGCCAACCAAUGCAAGCAGGGUGUUGACUAA